rnacentral:misc_RNA from 1 species
AUCAACCAUCAAGCCUGGCUUGUCGUUGGACCCCUUGUUGCUGAAAUAUGCGGCAGGUCCGAAAGAUAAUGACGGCGUCGUGCUUGACCCUAGAUGCAACGAGCUUUUUAGCACGCAUUGAAGUGGUCGGCCGACCCGGUCUUUAACCAUCAUUUUCUAAGGUUGACCUCGGAUCAGGUAGGAAUACCCGCUGAACUUAA